rnacentral:tRNA from 1 species
GGGGCCGUAGUGUAACCUGGCUAGCACGGCAGGCUCCAGACCUGCAAAUCCGGGUUCAAAUCCUGGCGGCCCCA